CCGUGAGGGAAAGGUGAAAAGCACCCCGGAAGGGGAGUGAAAUAGAACCUGAAACCGUGUGCUUACAAGUAGUCAGAGCCCGUUAAUGGGUGAUGGCGUGCCUUUUGUAGAAUGAACCGGCGAGUUACGAUUUGAUGCAAGGUUAAGCAGUAAAUGUGGAGCCGUAGCGAAAGCGAGUCUGAAUAGGGCGUUUAGUAUUUGGUCGUAGACCCGAAACCAGGUGAUCUACCCUUGGUCAGGUUGAAGUUCAGGUAACACUGAAUGGAGGACCGAACCGACUUACGUUGAAAAGUGAGCGGAUGAACUGAGGGUAGCGGAGAAAUUCCAAUCGAACCUGGAGAUAGCUGGUUCUCUCCGAAAUAGCUUUAGGGCUAGCCUCAAGUGAUGAUUAUUGGAGGUAGAGCACUGUUUGGACGAGGGGCCCCUCUCGGGUUACCGAAUUCAGACAAACUCCGAAUGCCAAUUAAUUUAACUUGGGAGUCAGAACAUGGGUGAUAAGGUCCGUGUUCGAAAGGGAAACAGCCCAGACCACCAGCUAAGGUCCCAAAAUAUAUGUUAAGUGGAAAAGGAUGUGGCGUUGCCCAGACAACUAGGAUGUUGGCUUAGAAGCAGCCAUCAUUUAAAGAGUGCGUAAUAGCUCACUAGUCGAGUGACACUGCGCCGAAAAUGUACCGGGGCUAAACAUAUUACCGAAGCUGUGGAUUGUCCUUUGGACAAUGGUAGGAGAGCGUUCUAAGGGCGUUGAAGCAUGAUCGUAAGGACAUGUGGAGCGCUUAGAAGUGAGAAUGCCGGUGUGAGUAGCGAAAGACGGGUGAGAAUCCCGUCCACCGAUUGACUAAGGUUUCCAGAGGAAGGCUCGUCCGCUCUGGGUUAGUCGGGUCCUAAGCUGAGGCCGACAGGCGUAGGCGAUGGAUAACAGGUUGAUAUUCCUGUACCACCUAUAAUCGUUUUAAUCGAUGGGGGGACGCAGUAGGAUAGGCGAAGCGUGCGAUUGGAUUGCACGUCUAAGCAGUAAGGCUGAGUAUUAGGCAAAUCCGGUACUCAUUAAGGCUGAGCUGUGAUGGGGAGAAGACAUUGUGUCUUCGAGUCGUUGAUUUCACACUGCCGAGAAAAGCCUCUAGAUAGAAAAUAGGUGCCCGUACCGCAAACCGACACAGGUAGUCAAGAUGAGAAUUCUAAGGUGAGCGAGCGAACUCUCGUUAAGGAACUCGGCAAAAUGACCCCGUAACUUCGGGAGAAGGGGUGCUCUUUAGGGUUAACGCCCAGAAGAGCCGCAGUGAAUAGGCCCAAGCGACUGUUUAUCAAAAACACAGGUCUCUGCUAAACCGUAAGGUGAUGUAUAGGGGCUGACGCCUGCCCGGUGCUGGAAGGUUAAGAGGAGUGGUUAGCUUCUGCGAAGCUACGAAUCGAAGCCCCAGUAAACGGCGGCCGUAACUAUAACGGUCCUAAGGUAGCGAAAUUCCUUGUCGGGUAAGUUCCGACCCGCACGAAAGGCGUAACGAUUUGGGCACUGUCUCAACGAGAGACUCGGUGAAAUCAUAGUACCUGUGAAGAUGCAGGUUACCCGCGACAGGACGGAAAGACCCCGUGGAGCUUUACUGUAGCCUGAUAUUGAAAUUCGGCACAGCUUGUACAGGAUAGGUAGGAGCCUUUGAAACGUGAGCGCUAGCUUACGUGGAGGCGCUGGUGGGAUACUACCCUAGCUGUGUUGGCUUUCUAACCCGCACCACUUAUCGUGGUGGGAGACAGUGUCAGGCGGGCAGUUUGACUGGGGCGGUCGCCUCCUAAAAGGUAACGGAGGCGCUCAAAGGUUCCCUCAGAAUGGUUGGAAAUCAUUCAUAGAGUGUAAAGGCAUAAGGGAGCUUGACUGCGAGACCUACAAGUCGAGCAGGGUCGAAAGACGGACUUAGUGAUCCGGUGGUUCCGCAUGGAAGGGCCAUCGCUCAACGGAUAAAAGCUACCCCGGGGAUAACAGGCUUAUCUCCCCCAAGAGUUCACAUCGACGGGGAGGUUUGGCACCUCGAUGUCGGCUCAUCGCAUCCUGGGGCUGUAGUCGGUCCCAAGGGUUGGGCUGUUCGCCCAUUAAAGCGGUACGCGAGCUGGGUUCAGAACGUCGUGAGACAGUUCGGUCCCUAUCCGUCGUGGGCGUAGGAAAUUUGAGAGGAGCUGUCCUUAGUACGAGAGGACCGGGAUGGACAUACCUCUGGUGUACCAGUUGUCGUGCCAACGGCAUAGCUGGGUAGCUAUGUGUGGACGGGAUAAGUGCUGAAAGCAUCUAAGCAUGAAGCCCCCCUCAAGAUGAGAUUUCCCAACUUCGGUUAUAAGAUCCCUCAAAGAUGAUGAGGUUAAUAGGUUCGAGGUGGAAGCAUGGUGACAUGUGGAGCUGACGAAUACUAA
rnacentral:rRNA from 1 species